rnacentral:rRNA from 1 species
UACGGAGGGUGCAAGCGUUAUCCGGAUUCACUGGGUUUAAAGGGUGCGUAGGUGGGCAGGUAAGUCAGUGGUGAAAUCUCCGGGCUUAACUCGGAAACUGCCAUUGAUACUAUCUUUCUUGAAUACCGUGGAGGUCAGCGGAAUAUGUCAUGUAGCGGUGAAAUGCUUAGAUAUGACAUAGAACACCAAUUGCGAAGGCAGCUGGCUACAUGAAUAUUGACACUGAUGCACGAAAGCGUGGGGAUCAAACAGG